rnacentral:rRNA from 1 species
AUUGAACGCUGGCGGAAUGCUUUACACAUGCAAGUCGAACGGCAGCACGGACUUCGGUCUGGUGGCGAGUGGCGAACGGGUGAGUAAUGUAUCGGAACGUGCCCAGUCGUGGGGGAUAACGUAGUGAAAAUUACGCUAAUACCGCAUACGAUCUAUGGAUGAAAGCGGGGGAUCGCAAGACCUCGAGCGAUUGGAGCGGCCGAUAUCAGAUUAGGUAGUUGGUGGGGUAAAGGCCGACCAAGCCAACUAUCUGUAUCUGGUCUGAGAGGACGACCAGCCACACUGGAACUGAGACACGGUCCAGACUCCUACGGGAGGCAGCAGUGGGGAAUUUUGGACAAUGGGCGAAAGCCUGAUCCAGCCAUUCCGCGUGCAGGAUGAAGGCCCUCGGGUUGUAAACUGCUUUUGUACAGAACGAAAAGGUUUCUACUAAUACUAGGAGCUCAUGACGGUACUGUAAGAAUAAGCACCGGCUAACUACGUGCCAGCCGCCGCGGUAA